rnacentral:lncRNA from 1 species
ACGUACGGCGACGACGCGCUCAACGCGCGCGCGCUGGACGACGACGACGACGUCUCGGUCUCGGUGUCGGACACGAAUGUGGCGGGAAACGACGGCCACGUCGACGACGCGAUCGGCCCGCGCGCGAAGGCGGACCGGCUCCCGUUUGAACACGCGCGCGACUUUAGCAAAGAGACCAACGCGGUGUCCGCGGCUUCGGGCGCGUUCUAUACACUGGUUCCCAUACGACCGCGCUGGCGUGGUGAACGCCGAUCCUUAAGGACUUUUCCCGGCGUGUCUCUCCGCCCACCCCUCGUGUUCAAUCCCCGCCCUCGAUGCCUUUCAACUCCAACUGACGCCUUUCAACUCCACCCCGACAUCGCUUUGUAUGGAACGACCCUCAGGGCCGCACGUCCAAGGCGUCAUCGCGCUCGCGGACAACCGCGUCGAGGACGGCGGCACGGUCUUGGUCCCCGGGUUCCACGCGACGUUCGCGAAGUGGAGUCGCGCGCUGGGGAGCUCGUGGCGGGCGUACGCGGAGACGCACGCGGACGCGGACGCGAAUCGGUUGGUGUGGCGCGGCGACGGCGCCGGGUCGUUCAAGGCGCGUUCUCCUUACACUGGUCCCCGUACGACCCCGUUCGCGCGGUGAACGCCGAUCCUUAAGGACUUUCUCUCCUGGCGUUUCUCUCCGCCCAGGGUCCCUCGCGUUCAAUCCCGACACACCGCGACGCCUUUCAACUCCAACUGACGCCUUUCAACUACACCCCGACGUCGCUUUGAACGAUGGAACGACCCUAAGUUUGGCGACCGCGACGCGAUCCACGAGAGGAAAACGCGCGUAACCGCGAGGGAAGGGUCGUACGUGAUCUGGGACCAGCGGCUCGCGCACGGGGCGGCGCCGAACGACAGCGACGUG